rnacentral:rRNA from 1 species
GGAUGAACGCUGGCGGCGUGCUUACCCCAUGCAAGUCGAACGGAAAGGCCCAAGCUUGCUUGGGUACUCGAGUGGCGAACGGGUGAGUAACACGUGGGUGAUCUGCCCUGCACUUCGGGAUAAGCCUGGGAAACUGGGUCUAAUACCGGAUAGGACGAUGGUUUGGAUGCCAUUGUGGAAAGUUUUUUCGGUGUGGGAUGAGCUCGCGGCCUAUCAGCUUGUUGGUGGGGUAAUGGCCUACCAAGGCGUCGACGGGUAGCCGGCCUGAGAGGGUGUACGGCCACAUUGGGACUGAGAUACGGCCCAGACUCCUACGGGAGGCAGCAGUGGGGAAUAUUGCACAAUGGGCGCAAGCCUGAUGCAGCGACGCCGCGUGGGGGAUGACGGCCUUCGGGUUGUAAACUCCUUUCGCUAGGGACGAAGCGUUUUUGUGACGGUACCUGGAGAAGAAGCACCGGCUAACUACGUG